GCGAGCGCCAGGUGCGGAGCGGGCGUUAGAAGUUGCUGGCAGUCAGAGGCAGGGGAGCUGUCACUCGCGGCGAGCCGGGCGGCGGCCAGGGCGCAAAGUUGAGAGCAGUCUCUAGUCUGAGCCUUUCAGUCGCCUUCCAGUAUCAUCAGUACCACGGGCUCCACCUUGCUGCGGCCCCUCAGCAACCCAGUGCACCUGCCACUCGACCAGAGGGAAAGCAGUCAGGAGUGGGAGGCCUCUGAACAAGCUGUAUUUUGUGUAGCCGCCAGCUUCCAUCUUUCUCCAGGCAGAACGCUGGCCCUCAGCACAUCUUUCUGCUUCCCCUCGGUCAGACCACCGAGAACUGCCGCUGUCCUGUCUGACUCCUCCUGUUUUGAAGCAGCCCCAAUUGAAACCAGCUCCACCUGUGAUCCUAGGAAGAGAGAGCAUCUUCUCUGGGAAGAAAUGCCCUGGGGAAGACUCUUGGUCAUGGGGACUGGGCGCUGUGACAGGACUUCGUGAACUA
rnacentral:lncRNA from 1 species